rnacentral:rRNA from 1 species
CGGAGGAAAAGAAACUAACAAGGAUUCCCCUAGUAGCGGCGAGCGAAGCGGGAAGAGCUCAAAUUUAUAAUCUGGCACCUUCGGUGUCCGAGUUGUAAUCUCUAGAAAUGUUUUCCGCGUUGGACCGCACACAAGUCUGUUGGAAUACAGCGGCAUAGUGGUGAGACCCCCGUAUAUGGUGCGGACGCCCAGCGCUUUGUGAUACAUUUUCGAAGAGUCGAGUUGUUUGGGAAUGCAGCUCAAAUUGGGUGGUAAAUUCCAUCUAAAGCUAAAUAUUGGCGAGAGACCGAUAGCGAACAAGUACCGUGAGGGAAAGAUGAAAAGCACUUUGGAAAGAGAGUUAACAGUACGUGAAAUUGUUGGAAGGGAAACGCUUGAAGUCAGACUUGCUUGCUGAGCAAUCGGUUUGCAGGCCAGCAUCAGUUUUCCGGGAUGGAUAAUGGUAGAGAGAAGGUAGCAGUUUCGGCUGUGUUAUAGCUCUCUGCUGGAUACAUCUUGGGGGACUGAGGAACGCAGUGUGCCUUUGGCGGGGGUUUCGACCUCUUCACACUUAGGAUGCUGGUGGAAUGGCUUUAAACGACCCGUCUUGAAACACGGACC